rnacentral:lncRNA from 1 species
AUAGCUCCAGAGUCAGGAUGGCUCCUUUUAUCAGAACAACUGAAGGACCACUGUCUCCUGGAGUGGAGGCUGCGCUCACUCCUGGAUCAGGGGCAUCAGGGGCUUAUGGGGCAGGAAAGGAAGGGAUGAGGGGUUCAUAUGCAGACCAGAGUGGUAGAUAUCAACAGAGCCAGCCUCCUGGAUCCCUGACAUCAAGGAAGUCGACUUUCCUGUCUAGAGCUUUUCCGUCCACCUGAGGCUUUUGGCGAUUAACCUUCAAAAGUAAAUUUCAAAAAAGCAAGUAUCAUGGUUUCUGGAAAGUAUUUCUUCAAAAGGUGCUUUCAUUAGGAUGAGUAUACUAAUUUAAUGGUGAAAAAAAAUCACAACUUUGAUCUGUUAAAACUUUGUAUGAAGACAAUAAUAAGCUUUAAAAGUAAGAAAUUCAAAUUAGGUUUAGAUUUGAGUACUACCUAAGUCAGUAAACUCCCUCCCCUCCCCCUUCUGACAGCCCUCCCCUCCCCCUUCUGACAGCCCUCCCCUCCCCCUUCUGACAGCCCUCCCCUCCCCCUUCUGACAGCGCAGUAACUGAGACCACAGGUGACAUUUAACUCCUGGUGUACAUGCUGGAUUUUCUUAACGCAAUCAGGUUAUAAUGUGUUAUUGUUAAUUACCACUAAAACUUACUAACACCACUGGGCAAGUGUGUGUGUCACAUGCUUUGGAAAUGUUAAGCAGUCCUGGUCUGCUUCAGCCAUUAUGAUGCAAGCCCUGGCUCCUACCCCUUCUCUUUGCAGAGAAGCCGGGGAAGCCUUGUCCAAAAUCAGUGAGGUGAAGUCUUGUCUGUGAUGAAAGCCUUCUGGUGGCUUCUCAGCAUCCUUGGAAGACUUCUGCAACCUCCUUGAUUUAUAACCUAGCAGUACCUGGGUACUGCACCUAUACCAUCACUCCACGGGUCAUCUCUCUAAGGGUGUGUUAUCCACACAGUUUUGCUCAUCCUUCAAAGACAGCCAACCUCAGGGUUGAGGCAUAGUCCUUCUCCUAUAAUACCAUUUUUCCAUCCUUUACUUUAAAUGUCUCUAUUUCCUUCAAACCCUGUUCUCGUCUUUCAAGGCACUCUCCAUUUUCUGUAAACACAGUUUAUUUUUCUUGCAGACUUGUCACUAGAAGGGCAGUCUGGGGACAUCUCCAGUGUUGCUCUCGCUGUGGGCUCAGUACCUAACGUUCUGAGGGCAUGCAGUGUUUGUUGCAUUAAUACAUAGAUGCUCUCAGAGAUGGAUACUGCUAUUACCCUCACUUAGUAACGGAGGAAACUGACGCUCAAGUUAUGCAAGAGGACCUAUAAAGAGGUCAAAACCAUC